UUAUGGGGUAUGCUUUACAGUACAAUACUUGUGUGAUGUAAUACUAACAUAUUACAAACAGAAUGCAGUCUUGUAUAUGGACGUUAUAUUUGCGUCGUUCUGGAUAGUUUCUGCUAUUCUAAUGCAUUAGUCUUGCAGCAUGAAAUGGUUAAUCAUGGUAUGUUCAUUACUGCUAAAUGCCAACAUACAAUUCACCCGGGAAAAUGUCGAUAAAACAUUUCCGGGCCCAUAUGGAACGUACAGACCGUACCUACCACGGUUAUAGCUUCUGUGUAAAGUUUAGUAGGUUAGAUUUGGUUUAAGAAAAUAUGGAAAGCUGAAUGCUGAUUGGCUGAAAAUUGUAAUGACGUAAUCAGUGUAUGUAAAUCACACACUUACAGUGGAUCGCGGGAAAUCCCCACCAUAUGUUGCGGCUAAAAUCUAACUCAAUAUGUGAUCAUCGUCAAGCCGUGAAGAAAGUUACGAAAGACCAUGCAUAUACCACGAGCCAUAUACCAAUUGCAACGUUCACCCUUUUAUGUAUACCAUUUUUGUGUAAUAGCAUGUGUAUAGAUUUAUAUAUGUAUAGCUAACAUGGGUAUAGGACUUUAAAUGUUGUAAUUUAUAUCUUUGCUAUAUUCUGUCUGAUCUUGCCCUUUGGGCUUCUCGCGAAUAGAUAAUUGUUCGAACAAACAAUCCGCACUCACACUAUGCGAUUAAAUGGAUCCGUCAAAAGUAGUAUUCUUUAAUGGCUACCAUGAUACAAAACACCGCCAGUAUGCAAGGAGGACGAAACUACAUGGUGAUACCCUCUAGUUACAGAUUGAUUUAAACGCUAGAAGCCGUCAUUCAGGCGCAAUCCUGAAGCAAACAAGCUGUGGGAGUCUGUAAUUAUGGUAACUAUUCAUUAGCACACACUGCGCAUAGUUUCUGGUAAUGGAGUCAUGUCCCGAAAUACAUGCCUGUGUUUUGUUACACCUCCUCGACAACUGUGUCUUUUGCAAGGGAUGUAGCCCAUGUGUUCCAUAUUCCUCUGCCUACAAACAUUACAGUUUCCACAUUCAGCAAACAGAAAUACAUGCAUGGCUGCGUUUUGUUACACUUCCUCAACAACUGUCUUUUGUAAGGGAUGUAGUUGGUGCUGUGUGAAACAUAUUCCAUUGCCUUCAAACAUUCCACAGUUUCGACAUUCAGCAAACAGAAAUACAUGUGCAGCCUCCUAAGUGAAUACACGCGUUAUGAUUGAAUAUUAGAAUAGCAUUGUACAGCGUAUAUAAGCCAUCUUAUUGUAAAGCUCCCUCUAACACAAUGCGAUAGGCGUUUAACCAGCGUUAAAAGCGCUCGAAUGCCGUGAGCCAUUCCAACUCUGUACUGCUUUCUGUUUGCGAUCAGAAUAUGGAUUGGCAGUAAAAAACGUAUUGCUGUAUCAUCUGCAUAUUUUGACCAGAAAAUACGCUAUCACAUUAGGCAUUUUAAAAGAAAGCGCGUUUUUGCUGACAAGUUUCCGUCGAAAUUUUGAACAGGCACUGGCAACCACCUGUUACACUAACUUCCCUCACACAGAGCCACGGUCGCCAUGGCAACCGCGGAUCACGUCCGAAUAAAUCGCCUUUGACAGAGGACUUAUCGUCCUUGAUCCUUUGGAUCAAAAUGGGAUCAAUUCUGGAUAAACACAAUCCUUAUGCGAAACGCGAUCUCCGUUCAGAAAAUGUCACAACCACCGUUCGAGCCAUAGCCCUGUCAGUACUUGGACUUGCCAGAAAUAUUUAUGGAGCCAAUAUUUCUAUCCCAGAGCUCCGUCCGUCCCGUAGCGACAGUUCUAACGCUAAUUUUGGGCCAAAAGGCUUGGCCAAUUGAUCAUGAUAUCUGCCCAUUGUUGUCUUUGAAAUCCAUUCAUCAAAUUUUGAUUAGGGACUUCUUUUGUUGCGCGGGCAAAGUCACGCGAGGAGCCGGCUCUUUGCGACACGGCGAUGGAUGGCUGGCGGGAUCUCGUGAGCGCUCUGUCACGUCUAAAACGUUUUUCCUGUCGGAGGGGGAGAAAUUCGCACCGGCCGGUGAAAAAUGGCUACUUUCAACGGGCAGUCAUCUUCGCGAGGGGGGGAUUUUAAAUCAAUUUUGGUAUGAAUAUUUCAAAGUGUGGUCCAUUUUUUAUGGAUAAUGCAUUGUUAUAAUAGACCGGUCCCAAGUGUCCCUCGGCUUUUAAAAGUUUCACACCUUUGUAAACUUACUCCAAAGUCGUCGAAAAGUUUCAAUCAAAUUUGACUACGCUGUCGUUCUAAAUUCCGGCAUUGUAUUAAUGCAUAUCUAUAUUCACUGCACACGAGAAGACCUGAGCGAUACGUUGUAUAACAAGCCAGUAUCGUUUAGUCUCUACUAGACUCCAUGAGUUACUGGCAAAAUAGCCAUCUAUGGAGCUGGAAAAAAAACGGGUUGCACUUUGAAGUAAACUUCAGUGGCCGGCUAACUCCUCUGGCAUUUCAUACAGUCUGUUUAGCCAAUCUCUACUGUCUUCUCAACAACCUUUGGUGUCUGGUAGAGCGACUUGAAUCAAAAGGAAAGAAAAGAGGAAAGAAUCUGAGUUGUAGAAAACGUAUAUACAUCGUGUAUUCUUGUCAGUACAUGACAUUUUAGGCGUGACAUCUAGCUAUACAUAAUUUUUUCUCUUUUAGUCUUGGGCCACUAGUUAGACGUCAAUGCCCCCCUUCCGACAAAGGUAUUCUACAUGUACGUACAACAGGAUAUACAUGUGAAAUGAAUAUCACUUCAUCUAGUCCACAUCUGUACAUUACAUAACACAAGCCUCCCUGUUGGUCGGUAGUGAACGUUAGGAUCCCGCCCGGCACGAAGGUGUGUCUCCUCCGAUGACCUCACCUGUCCGCGUUACGUCGGACACCUUUGUUUGCAGACUUAUGGAGCUAACCACCGUGCCCAUGUGUAGAUGAAAACUUCAGCAACUUUUCUCUACCUCAACCGUGUGUCCAGUGCUGUGCAAGGUUGCUUAGUUCGUUCUUUGCCCGAUGUGUCCUCUGGCUUCCCGCCCUACCUGUCUCCGGGGCGCGUGAGUCCACGGGUUGACGUACCCGGGGGAUUACUGUCACAUCCACGCACACAGAGGACGUCGGGAGACCGGGCUAGAUCCCUCGCGUGACAGCUCGCAAUUUGCGCUGUUAAAAUAUCAUUCAAAUAUUCUCGCUGACUGGCGCGGACUGACGCUACCUAUAUAUAAUGGGUCGUACCCACCCUGAGCGAUUUCCAUAAUAUGUCGGUGAGGUGAGGGGAAACACCGGAGCACACGGACAGACGCAGACCCGUGGCACCUCGUCAGGUAUGCGUCCCUGUCGGGCGUACGUCGCGCGGAGGCCCCCGUCCUCAUCCCGGCACGAGAUAAGCGGUAGGUAAAUUGACGAAAUGGGUCCAAUUACGCAUGGCAGGUUGGACGGGCCGGGAUUACUACCGCCGCUGGGUUGUACGUUGUGCAACAGCCGGCCAGCGCGCACAUGCCUGCCGCCUAGUGCGCCGCCAGGGGAAGGGUCGAUCCACGGUUGCCUAGGCAGCCAAACACACGGAGCGGACACUGACUCCGUAAGUUCCGCACCGUCCUCGCGGCCUGCCCGUCUGCCGUAUUGAUCUCCUCUCGCUGUGACAUCUUCCCCCGAACGUCUACAUUACAGCCCCGCUCUGCGCUCUAUCACUGCGGUGAUAUAGGCAACCGAUAUUCAGCUAUUUCCGGAGGGAACCUGCACGGCGAUUGCCUGUAGUUCUGCUCGCGUGUGGGGUCCCGUCCCGGUGUAAUGUGCACGGUUGUCGAUCGUUUUGACAUAUGUUUGUUUCUAUUUCACCAGGUUGGGAUGGCCCGUCCCUGUCACCCAGCUUCCACGUCAUCGGUCGUCAGAGAUCAGCUGGGCAGGUCGCACAGCAGCCGACACAACAGCACCGGGGUAACCGGUCAGCCAACCCAUCCAACCGGUGCAGGUGACACUUCGGGCGGCUUGCCACACGCCAGACGGUAGACAACGGCUCGCCCCCCUCCCCACCUCAGCAGGAUUAAAGAUGCCACAGCUGACUGAUGAUGCCCAACAGAGGCCCUCCUCAUCGUUUGCAGCACUCUCAUUCGUUCGCUCCCAACCCAGAGGUCGGUUUGUUCCCGCUCAAGUCGACCGUGCGACUCGCGGAAUGGCGUUCUUAACAGGAGGAGGCUAGAUCACAUGCGUCAAGUACUUGUGAGGGAGGGAGACCCCGGGAGCUGCGUGCCUGCAGACGCAGAGUAGAGCGUGUGUUGAGAAGUGAAGGGCGCACAGAGGACAGAGCGCGGGAGAAGAGGACGCAGAUGGGCGCCAAGCGGGUCUACAGUUUCCCGCCGAGACAACCUGUUGUCUGAUCAGCCCGAGUCAGAUUUCCCGCCACUUUUAUGGAAGCUCCGGUGAUGAGAACGGAACGUGCUUUGACAAGUCAAGUUAGUUGUUCAUGGCUCAAAUAGUAGGACAUGAACAGAUGUCAACAGACAGUUGUUGCCUUGAUUUUUGACACUCCAUGUACGGAGUCUGUUUUUGUCCUGUAUGUCUGUUUGGAUAAGUGUGUGUUCGUGUUUUUUAAACACUGUCAGUAUCUCAGGGUGGCUGGAAUACAUGUAUACAGUGAGUGGGAAGAUGGCCGCAAAGGUCCGACUUGAUUAUCAUCAUCAUAUCGUUCCGCGCCGGUACUGCAGCCAGGCCACGGCCUUCUCAGUGACGUCAGACUUGAUGAUGGAGUAACAGGAAGUACAGUUCAGAGAUGGUAAAACUAGUCGUUAUCAAACUUCUUUGACUUUGUACUGAAAAGUUAAUGAAAAAAAGAAGCUAAA